rnacentral:rRNA from 1 species
GUACGCUAUUCAGAGUUUGAUCCUGGCUCAGAGUGAACGCUGGCGGUAGGCCUAACACAUGCAAGUCGAACGGCAGCACAGUAAGAGCUUGCUCUUAUGGGUGGCGAGUGGCGGACGGGUGAGGAAUACAUCGGAAUCACCUUUUCGUGGGGGAUAACGUAGGGAAACUUACGCUAAUACCGCAUACGUCCUACGGGAGAAAGCAGGGGACCUUCGGGCCUUGCGCUAUCAGAUGAGCCUAGGUCGGAUUAGCUAGUUGGUGGGGUAAUGGCUCACCAAGGCGACGAUCCGUAACUGGUCUGAGAGGAUGAUCAGUCACACUGGAACUGAGACACGGUCCAG